UACAGAGGUCUCAAGCGUUGUUCGGAUUCAUUGGGCGUAAAGGGUGCGUAGGCGGCGCGGUAAGUCGGGUGUGAAAUCUCGGAGCUUAACUCCGAAACUGCAUUUGAUACUGCGGUGCUUGAGGACUGGAGAGGAGACUGGAAUUUACGGUGUAGCGGUGAAAUGCGUAGAUAUCGUAAGGAAGACCAGUGGCGAAGGCGGGUCUCUGGACAGUUCCUGACGCUGAGGCACGAAGGUCAGGGGAGCAAACGGG
rnacentral:rRNA from 1 species